GACGAACGCUGGCGGCGUGCCUAACACAUGCAAGUCGAACGAAGUGGCGAACGGGUGAGUAACGCGUAAACAACCUGCCCUUCAGAGGGGGACAACAGUUGGAAACGACUGCUAAUACCGCAUACUGAAGGAGGGGAUUGCGUCUGAUGAGCUAGUUGGGGGGGGAAAGGCCCACCAAGGCGAUGAUCAAUAGCCGGUCUGAAGGGAGGGACUGCCCAAAUGGGGCUGGAACACGGCCCAGGCUCCUACGGGAGGCAGCAAUGGGGAAACUUCCGGAAAUGGCGGAAAGCUGGCGGGGCAACGCCGCGUGAGUUGUGACGGCCUUCGGGUUGGAAAGCUCUGUUAAUCGGGGCGCGGUACCGGAAUAGAAAGCCACGGCUAACUACGUGCCAGCAGCCGCGGUAAUAC
rnacentral:rRNA from 1 species